rnacentral:rRNA from 1 species
GAUGAGCGCUGGCGGCAUGCCUAACACAUGCAAGUCGAUCGGUAAGGCUCUUCGGAGUACACGAGAGGCGGACGGCUGAGUAACGCGUAGGAACACACCCUGCAGUGAGGGAUAAGACACCGAAAGGUGUUCUAAUACCGCAUACGGUCUUCGGAUUAAAGCAUUUAUGCGCUGAAGGAGUGGCCUGCGUCAUAUUAGAUAGUUGGUGAGGUAAUGGCUCACCAAGUCGAUGAUGUGUAGCUGGUCUGAGAGGAUGAUCAGCCAGACUGGAACUGAGACACGGUCCAGACUCCUACGGGAGGCAGCAGUGAGGAAUAUUUCACAAUGAGCGAAAGCUUGAUGGAGCAAUGCCGCGUGCAGGAUGAAGGCCCUCGGGUUGUAAACUGCUUUUAUAAGAGAAGAUUAUGACGGUAACUUAUGAAUAAGGGACGGCUAACUACGUG